rnacentral:rRNA from 1 species
GAGCUUGCUCUGAUAAACUAGUGGCGCACGAGUGAGUAACGCGUGGGAAGCUGCCCAUCACUGGGGAAUAACGUUUGGAAACGAACGCUAAUACCGCAUACGCCCGCAAGGGGAAAGAUUUAUCGGUGAUGGAUGCGCCCGCGUUGGAUUAGCUUGUUGGUGGGGUAACGGCCUACCAAGGCGAUGAUCCAUAGCUGGUCUGAGAGGACGAUCAGCCACGCUGGAACUGAGACACGGUCCAG